rnacentral:lncRNA from 1 species
UCGAGAUUCGGUGUUUAAAACAACAUAAAAAUAAGAUAUGAGAAUAACAUGGAAAAUAAUCAUUUAGUACAUAUGAUGCUUGUUCUUGACACUAGGAAACUCAAAGGAGUUUAGAUGUUUUCAUGGAACAAGGUUCCAUUAGAAUCGUGACAAGUUAUCAUAGUCUAGGAUGAUGAAUGUUCAUGUGUUUAAGCAAAAUGUUCAUGUGUAAGUUUUUGAUAAGUAAACAUGUUAUACCCCAAAAGUGGUAAAAGUAAAAAGGGGGGAAAUACGAGUAUACUCACAAAGUUUGCAUAUGUUUUCCGAUUAUCCAAUUGUUGACGAGUAGAGAUUUAGAGUCCGAAUGUAUAAGGGUUAAGGUUCAAGUAUGUUUAGAGUCGAGAUUCGGUGUUUAAAACAACAUAAAAAUAAGAUAUGAGAAUAACAUGGAAAAUAAUCAUUUAGUACAUAUGAUGCUUGUUCUUGACACUAGGAAACUCGAAGGAGUUUAGAUGUUUUCAUGGAACAAGGUUCCAUUAGAAUCGUGACAAGUUAUCAUAGUCUAGGAUGAUGUAAUCUAGUACCCCGACAUAUGAACACUAGUUCAUCAUCAAAGAUUCGAUUAUUCGAAUAAUAUAUUUAGGUUAUAUAAUAUAUGUCCAAUAGUUCAAGCAUGAGGUAGAAGAUUAAAAUCUUCAUUUUGGUACCUCUAAAUGUCAUAGAAGUCAUGUAGGAGGUAGGAAGAUCAAGUCUUCCAUUUAGGCACCUCUAUGUGUUCACCACUACACUUGAUGUAAAAAAAACAACCAAGGAGGGUCAUGAACAUACAAUAAAGAAUAAGAAAUAUACACACUAACUAAGAGAAAUCAUCAAAUCAUGUGAGGAUUGUAUGUUUGGACAACCCAAGUUGUUCCAUAAUCACUCAUGUAUCAAAGACAAAGUUUGACAUGACUUGUGGGUUAAAAACCCUAAACAAAACACCAAGUUUAUGAGGUUUAAUCCUCUGAUUUUAAAUGUCCCAACCUUUUUUUUAAGCUUAACCAACCAUGGGAUAAGUUGUAAGCAUUAGGACAUAGGUAUGAGAUGUGUUAGACACAAGUUGCAUAGGUUUAAACAAGUUUUUGAUGAACAUAAAAACAAACAGAAAGUUUAUGGACUAUUUCGGGGCAUUUCCAGGUCUGAUUUCUCCAAGGAGAAGUCUAGGAAUCGAACCCCAUGAUUAUACAAGCAAGUAGGAAAAAGAAUCGAGUGAAUCGGAUAAGAAUUGAGUGAGUUAUGCUCAUUUUCGUGAAGGGGUGUCAAUCUACUCGAACCCUUGCUUUCAGCUACGGUUUGGUGGAUGUUUUGUGAGUUUUUAGGGUUGCAAAAGUGGUAGGGAGGCUGGUUAUAAGUGGUAUUUAUAGGGGGAAGGAUUAGGGUUUCAAUGGGUUGGGCUUUGGAAGUGUUUAGAAGGGGUUACACCUUGAAACUAGCCCACAAAACCCAACUAUAUGG